rnacentral:sRNA from 2 species
CAGUUCGGAGUAUGCAGUGAAGUUGGCGGCUUGGUUGGUGCCUUGUCGGAGGGCCGUGAGGGAAACACCGCGGUAGAGAGCGCCGAAACCCUCUUCCCUGACAACGGUGAGGAGAGCGUGUGGCGCACUGCGGUAUUUGGGGGUGUCCAGAGGAUCAGCUAGGCUGUGUUGUUGUGCCUGGAGACGAAUCUUGAUCACUUCCAUGGGCGUGACGACUGCGACAGCUUCUGUGACCCCAGCGGCAAGACCAGCUAAAUUCAGAGAUAAAUUCAUGUUCGCGGAGCCAGAAAGCUUCCCAGUUUCUUUAUUAGUGAGCGCUUGUUUAUACCACCCAUACGAUGUGAAUCGAAUGGCCAUCUUCGGUACUAUUCCGCUCAAAACAGCACCGAGACCCUUGUAUAAACCGAGAGCUGUCUCCCUCCUUACGAUUUCCCGCCCAGUCGCAAUGAAUCCACGAGCUUUUACCUACACCCGUACUCCAUCAGUCUCAAAACCGCACUUGUGGUUUUCAGUAUAGAAGAACUCACCCCUGGUGCCCGCGCUCUUUUUGACAGUUGCAUUCGGACCUUAACAGUAUCUAAACCAUAAGAAAAUUGAGCCCGUGCCCAGCACACCCUAUAUUUUGGAGCUUUGACUCGGACCAAAAAAAAAAAAAAGAGGGGAAAAUCCCGUACCUAGAGGAUGGCACACGAGCGCUUCCAUCAUUCCAGCCGUACCACCCGCUAUACUCUUAGUCAGUCAUAGCAAUGCUCCAGGCUAGCAUUUGGAUAGAGGGGGUUAUCAAACUAACCAAUUAAAUUGGUGGCCACCGAGGUGGGCUUCUUCCCAUUUUGACUGUUUGCAUUCUUUUCAGACAUGUUACUAUGAUGUGAAGGAGUUUAGAGGGAGAGAAGGAGAAGAGAGGUCAAGCAGGAAUUGCGCCGGUUUCAAAGUCCGCGAACUGUUAUCUUCGAACCCUGUCGUUUCCAAUCUCAAUGUUUAGGCGAUACAAUUGACAAAAGGGAAAGGAGGGAAAAACGUAAUCCCAGGUGAAAGUCAAAAAUGAGAGAAGCCGAGGGAAGAUAUUUUUUAUUUUUAUUAUAUUUUGGAAUAGGCACAAUAAAGAUUUUUCAAGGAACAGGAGUUGUGCGGAAACAAGCACAUAAAAAUAUCGAGGACGGGAAUUUUUGGAAACGGAGAUCCAAUUGAUGGGGCCAAUAAUGAUGCAAUACAAGGGUAAGCCCUACUUUUUUUUUCUGUUUCAAUACUCCCGAAAGUAUCUUGUAUAGGGAAAAUACAUAGCCUUGAACAACCGGGAAGCGAGAGUAUUUCGCUGUGAGGGGCCCAUG